UACGAAGGGGGCUAGCGUUGCUCGGAAUCACUGGGCGUAAAGGGCGCGUAGGCGGUCUUUUAAGUCGGGGGUGAAAGCCUGUGGCUCAACCACAGAAUUGCCUUCGAUACUGGGAGACUUGAGUUCGGAAGAGGUUGGUGGAACUGCGAGUGUAGGAGGUGAAAUUCGUAGAUAUUCGCAAGAACACCGGUGGCGAAGGCGGCCAACUGGUCCGACACUGACGCUGAGGCGCGAAAGCGUGGGGAGCAAACAGG
rnacentral:rRNA from 1 species